UUGGAGGGCAAGUCUGGUGCCAGCAGCCGCGGUAAUUCCAGCUCCAAUAGCGUAUAUUAAAGUUGUUGCAGUUAAAAAGCUCGUAGUUGAAUUUCGGGAUUGGCGUGACGGUCGUGCCUUAAGGGGUAUGAACUGUCGCUGUUGAUUUCUCACCUUCUGGAGAAUCUCGAUGCCCUUUAUUGGGUGUCUUGUGGAUCCAGGACCUUUACCUUGAAAAAAUUAGAGUGUUUAAAGCAGGCAUUUUUGCUCGAAUACAUUAGCAUGGAAUAAUAGAAUAGGACGGCUUGGUUCUAUUUUGUUGGUUUCUAGGAUCACCGUAAUGAUUAAUAGGGAUAGUUGGGGGCAUUAGUAUUCAAUUGUCAGAGGUGAAAUUCUUGGAUUUAUUGAAGACUAACUACUGCGAAAGCAUUUGCCAAGGAUGUUUUCAUUAAUCAAGAACGAAAGUUAGGGGAUCGAAGACGAUCAGAUACCGUCGUAGUCUUAACCAUAAACUAUGCCGACUAGGAAUCAGACGAUGUUAAUUUUUUAAUGACUCGUUUGGCACCUUAUGGGAAACCAAAG
rnacentral:rRNA from 1 species